GAUGAGCUCGUGUCGAGCAUCCACGACACCCCGAGAUGGAUAAGACCGCCCCCCUCCUCCCCGAAACCCUAGCAUCCCCUUUUUCUUCCCUCUCGCGCCUCUGCCUCUCCUGCUCGACGCCCGUGCAUUGCCGUCACCGCCGCAUCAUCGUUACCGUCCUCUGGGUCAUCCCCGAGCUGCUACAAGGUGGCCACAAGCUUCCCCAACCUCGUCUCCUUCACCUAUGCCUCUGGAUCGAAGCCAAAGGGCCUUGUAUGCUCCACAUCGAGCCGCCAUCCCCAUCACAGCCGCCACGGCCGUCGCCGUCGAUCCCCACCUCCGGCACCCCCUCGACCUGUUCGAGCACGGCCCCGACCUCCUCCCAAUGACGGAUCCCAGGAGCCAGACGACACCACUGAUGACUACUGCUACCCCGAGGGUGCGUACUACUACGUGACGGCCGCUGACGACUUGGAGUAGUUAGGAGGCUCCUAGGCAGGAGGCCUUGCCUUUUCGAUCGUUGUUGCUUUUGUGCUAGCCUUCUUAAGGCAAACUUGUUUAACUUAUGUUUGUACUCAGAUAUUGUUGCUUCCGCUGACUCUUAUGUAUUCGAGCUUGUGUACUCGAGCCCUCGAGGCCCCUGGCUUGUAAUAUAAAGCUUGUAUUAUUUUAA